rnacentral:lncRNA from 1 species
UAAAACUAAUCGUUCAUUCAUUCUUGAACAUAAAACAAAAAAAAAAAGGAAAAAAAACUCUCCUAAUUCCUCUCCAUUUGACUGACCGUCUGCCUCACACCAUUCCACCAUCAUAAUCGGUUUCUGGUGAUGAAAGAAGGCUUCGUUUAAACCCACUUAAAACCAAACCCGAAGGUCUCAGUAUUCAGUCCCAAAAUCCCCUAUUUGCUUCGAUUUCAGCGAAGAAGAAGGGUUCCAAAAGCACAAUUAAAAGGUAAUCACCCCCAUUUCCCUUUUUAUUUUCGAAACUUCAAAGCAAAAUAAAAGAAAAGAUAGAAAAGAAGUCGAAAAGGAUAAAAGAUGCAACCUUUUUUAUUGAUUUUUCUUUUGUAUUCAAAAUUCGGAGCGAUUUUUGUGUUUGUCUCUUUUUCAAUAUUGUAAAAUCCCCCCUCACAAUCGUUUGUUUUAGUGGCUUUAUAGCCGAAUACAAAGAGUUAUUUUUUUGUCCAUAUCUGCUACUGUUUGGUUCUGCUUUGCGUGUUGUUGUUGUUCUGUCUCUAUUUGCUGUCUUUGUUUGCGUGAUUGCAGGAGCUAGGCUCGGUCAACGGCGGAGGAUGCGCUGACAUCUCACGUGGGGGGGCAAACGGCAUCUCUGGAGAGGAAGCUGCUAGGGUUUCUAACUUUGGCUGAAAAUGUUUAAUUUUUGGGCCAACUUUGGGUCAUUGUAAUUAGGCUGCUGUUUGGGUUUAAAUAGGUUUAGGGUUAUUUAAUUUUGGUUUUGUAAAAAUGGAUUGUUUAUUAUCUUUAUUUUGGUUUCUGGUUUAUGAGCCCCGGGUAAAUUUGGGCCCUUACAAGUAGGAUGUUUUUCUAUUUGAAAUAAAUCACUACAACUCAACAAGGGUUCUGGCACUAGUAGAGCUAUUAACACAAUUUUGAAAGAUUGUUAUUCUGCCGAAAAAUAGAGAGA